rnacentral:tRNA from 1 species
GGAGAGCUCGCAUAAUGGUAUUGCAGCGGUCUUGAAAACCGCCGCCCGCAAGGGUGUGGGGGUUCGAGUCCCUCGCUCUCCGCAA